GUAAUCAGGUUGGUGAGAACCCAACUGCGUCUGGCUAGGGAGGUUUUUUGGAAUUAGUACUCCUGAACAGUUUUGUCAUAAUGUUGUCAAAGGAUCACAACAACAAGCAGCAAUAUGGACUGGCCUCAAGGAUUGUCAAAUUUGCUCAGAUACUACCCGAGAAAGGCAUCAGUGGACAUGAUGAUGACUUGCUAAAGCGCAAGACCAUUUAUGGUUUCAGAGGUUUCUCUCAGGAUGCUUGCCAUGAUAUCACUUUGAUCAUUUGAUGGUUGUUGCAGUAGCGUCUUUAGUACUUGCUGAUUUUUUGAAGAACGAAGCAGAUUCAAAGCAGAGCUAGGGUUUAGUUUAUGAUUGAUGACCCCGAAUUAGGGUUCUCUUUGUCUUCUAAUUGAUGAAUGAAUUAG